rnacentral:tRNA from 1 species
UUGAUAGAAACCAAAUAGAGGUAUAUUACUGUUAAUAAUAAAAUUGAACUUUCCAGUUCCUAUCAAG